rnacentral:rRNA from 1 species
GAUGAACGCUGGCGGCGUGCCUAAUACAUGCAAGUCGAGCGAACAGACGAGGAGCUUGCUCCUCUGACGUUAGCGGCGGACGGGUGAGUAACACGUGGAUAACCUACCUAUAAGACUGGGAUAACUUCGGGAAACCGGAGCUAAUACCGGAUAAUAUAUUGAACCGCAUGGUUCAAUAGUGAAAGACGGUUUUGCUGUCACUUAUAGAUGGAUCCGCGCCGCAUUAGCUAGUUGGUAAGGUAACGGCUUACCAAGGCAACGAUGCGUAGCCGACCUGAGAGGGUGAUCGGCCACACUGGAACUGAGACACGGUCCAGACUCCUACGGGAGGCAGCAGUAGGGAAUCUUCCGCAAAGGGCGAAAGCUUGACGGAGCAACGCCGUGUGAGUGAUGAAGGUCUUCGGAUCGUAAAACUCUGUUAUUAGGGAAGAACAAAUGUGUAAGUAACUAUGCACGUCUUGACGGUACCUAAUCAGAAAGCCACGGCUAACUACGUG